AACUAGGAUUCAUAAGUGCAAUAUUUUUCUAAAUUGAAUAUCAGCUGAUUUUUUGGUUAAAAGCAAAUUGAUAUUAUUAGGAUACAGACUAAGCCUGUAUUGGUGAGAUCUGGCGUAGAAAGCUCUAUACAAAAGACAUACACGCUCGUCAAAUUUAACUCUAAACUGAGAGAGAUGUCACUCACUUUCGUUAAAAGUGAACCCAGAGUCUAUGUGUAUAUAGAGUCGCGCGAAGAGAAAAUCUAUCGUUUCGGCAACACAGUUUUUGUGCCGUUUAUUGCCAAGAACUAUACAAUUCUGUUUUUCACCAUGCAUAAGCGAAUAUCAUUUUUUGAAAUUCUUCACAAGGUACACAGUUUUGAAAGAUUACACCGGUGAUUUUUUGUUAAAUUUAAGUGAACCAGUGUACAGGUUUAAUGUUGGAUUAAAAUGUGUAAGUAAAACUUCGGAAAAACACAUAUUCUUUAUUACGCUCAAUUACAACACUUUUCAUCCACUCCUAACAUUAUCACCUUGUUUAUUUACAUUGCUCGAUUGGUACCCUCGUUUGACACUGAUUUGGUUCCUUUGGUUUCAUCUUUGCGGGACUCUUAUUAUAAACAUAGACUCUGAGUGAACCUACUCUUAACAGAGUUUUUAUGAUAUUACUUGAGAAGAAACUGAGUGAAGGCUACUCAGUUGGCUCGUUUUGACUUUUGAUCCCUUUGAUGAAUGAAACUGCCAGAGGAUUGUUGCAUACAAUUAUAACAAAAUCACAAGUUUUUUUUUCAAAUCUUUGUAUUUUGCAUAUACAUAUAUGUAAUAAAAAAAAACAAACCUUAUUAAAUCAUUAGUGUAUCUUCUGCCUCAACAGCUUCAUUAAAAACCGCAGCAAUACGGUUCACUGUUACCCGGGAGCUGUGACUUGAGGUUUUAAAAAGUACACAUUCCAAAAAAUCCGUAACCAUUCUUAUAUCUAGAGAAACUCUAAUACACAAAUAAAAAACACUUUUUUCAAACAACAAUACAACACGUUUUUCCAAACAACAACUUAUUUUUAGUGAAACGUUUUUAAAUGUUUUCAAUACCACUCAAAAAAAAAGAGUAAAGCAGCAAAUUAUGACAAUCUGAGUAACUGUUACUCAGUUCGGUAAACGAAACUUACUCAAUUUUUGACGUUUUAAUAGACAAUGUAAAACUGAGUCAAAGUUGCUCAAUUUAGAGUAAAAUUAAAGGAGCGUGUACGUAACACUCAGGAAGAAAUCUUCCGAAAAAGUUGGUACAAAAUGAACUACUCGAAUGGUACCACACUCAGAAUAAAAUCACUGUUUGAGUUGUUUUUGAAGGCAGUGUACCUGCGCAGCCCUGCCUUUGUCUCGUUCCUACUCGAAAAAUGCUGCACACGCUGCUUUAUUUUAACUCCAAUCUGAUUAGGAUCUACUCAGUUUGGUAUUCUUAUGCAAAAUGUCAAAAAGUGAGUAAUCGAGUACUGGACAAUUGAGUAACAUUAACCCAAAUUUUCAUAAUUACCAUGUUUACUCAGUUUUGAGUUAUUAUCCAUGAUGUUUACUCACCCUGGUCAAAUCUCCCAGCUGGUUUCGAGGUACGAUGCUGGCCUAACAAGCCAGUCGUCGUAUGGUCGAGUCCCGGCUCGGGAGAGACUGUUAGUGUCAGUAGGAUCGUAGCGCUAGCCCCGCAAUUGUCCUGUACACUUAACAGUCGGCUGCGAAGUCUGUGUAUAGUAAAACAGAAGGUCGAAUUCCGAUACGGAAUGUAGCAUCAAGGCUUUGCUUUUGUUUACUCACCCCUGAGUAUAUGUAUAUGUCAAAGAUUUUCAACAGCAAUAUUAUCGGUUUCCGAAGAACAAUUGGUGUCGCUUUUUAUUCGUUGGCUAGCACCCAACAUCAGUAUUGCAGAGGAUUUGAAAACACCUGUUUUGUCAUGAAAUAACAAGUAAAUAAAUGUUAAAUAUUACUUCUUUAUUAAGCGAUCUUAACUCAACGAGCAUUCUCGAGCAACUGAGCUAUGCUUCUCUCUUUCACCUAAAGAACCGAGGGGCGCGCAUAUAAUGCAACAUCUUCCCCACAACAAGAAAAUAACUAGACUAUCAAUACAAGGUUUAAUUUGAAAUAAAGUCAUUGAAUUUCACUGGACAGGCCGUUUUGGCCUGACUGUUGUAGCUACAGGUGUUAGUGAAUCACGUACAUGUGGUGUUGAAGCAGGCGAACUAUUGUCUGAUUGAGACAUCUCAGCAAUCGCUGGUUUUCCUGAUGAUUGACAUUCAUUUUCAACUGACGAAGUACUGAAGCUAGGAGCAAAAUCUGAUUGUCCUGCAGCAGAAGACACAUUUUCCAAAGAAGGUUUCAAAUUACAGCGGACAGGCGACGUGGCUAGUUCAUUACGUGGCUUAAGAUGAACGAGGCUCCGGCGAUACUCUUUGCCUCCAACAUCAACCGUAUAUGUUCGCUCACUGUCACGGUUUGUAAUUUUAGCUGGAGUCCACAGUUUUGAAGUUUCUGGUGAUAGUUGUGUGUAUACAGGAGAGCCAAUUUUGAAACUAGGUACGUUGUCUAUUAUCUUCGGAAGAAGAUUAUUUAUAGAACAUGGAACAUCACUACGAGUUGAUCGAGAGAAUAAGCGAGCGACUGGACUCGAGCCAAUUUUGUUAGGAAUAUUACACCAAUGUAGUAACGCGUACCAAAAGUCUGUUCCAGUUUCCUGGGCCUUCGCUAAAAGACGCUUUGCGAUUUUCACUGCUGCUUCGGAUUUACCGUUACCUUGCUGAUGAUAAGGCGCUGAUGUAACCUGUUUGAAAUCCCAAUCACGAGCAAAUUGAAUCAUACUUUUGUUCACGAAAUUGGUACCGUUAUCAGUUACCACUAACUGCGGUUUUCCAUGUCGGGCAAAGUUUUGCUUGCAUGCCGAAAUAACAGACUCCGGAGUAAGGUCCUUUAAAAUGUUGAUCUCGAAGAAGUCAGAAUAAUGGUCAACGGUAACCAGAAAAAUUCGUUUGCUGCCUAAGUAUUCAGCAAAAAAUACAUCCAUUGAGACUAGUUGGAAUGGAUGGAGGGGAAUAUUAUGACUUAUCAUCGGUGGAUUUGCUUGAGAGACCGCGAACUUAGCACAAACACUGCAGUUGUUGACCACAUCUCUGAUUUGAGAAGUCAUUCCUGGCCAGAAGAGAUUUUUCCUAGCCAAUUUCAGAGUCGCUUCGACACCGUUAUGGCUUAGAUGACAACUAUCAAUAAGCCUUCGACGAAGAGAAUAUGGGACUAGAAUGCGAUCCUCACGAAAAACAAUACCAACAACCGUGUGGGAGAGCUAGCCGACCGACAUCGCUAACCACGGGGACCACCUCGGGGUCGAAUCGAAUGCAAGCGAAUAAUAUAGCUAACAGUUCCUUUUCAAUCUGGGCAUAAUUACGUUCGGUAGGUGUCAAUGUACGUGAUGCGUAUGCGACUACUCCAUUGCCCUGGUAUACAAAAACUCUCAGACCAAAAUUACUUGUGUCACAUUCGAUUACAAUUGGCUGUUUCAUGUCAUAGUAGCGAAGAGUGGAGAUAUCAGACACUAAAAUCUUUACACGAUCGAACUCGUCUGCUUCUUUUUGAGACCACUGCCAUGGGUUUGAAUCAAUAAUAAGUUUCCGCAAAUUUGUUAAAUUGGCGCUCAAAUUUGGUAUAAAUCGACUCAGAUAGUUGACCAUUCUAAU